AUCGAGUUGAUGAGUCCCGAAUAGGACGAAACGCAUGUCCUGGAU
rnacentral:hammerhead_ribozyme from 1 species